AGACCCGAAACCCGGUGAUCUAGCCAUGGGCAGGUUGAAGGUUGGGUAACACUAACUGGAGGACCGAACCGACUAAUGUUGAAAAAUUAGCGGAUGACCUGUGGCUGGGGGUGAAAGGCCAAUCAAACCGGGAGAUAGCUGGUUCUCCCCGAAAGCUAUUUAGGUAGCGCCUCGUGAAUUCAUCUCCGGGGGUAGAGCACUGUUUCGGCUAGGGGGCCAUCCCGGCUUACCAACCCGAUGCAAACUGCGAAUACCGGAGAAUGUUAUCACGGGAGACACACGGCGGGUGCUAACGUCCGUCGUGAAGAGGGAAACAACCCAGACCGCCAGCUAAGGUCCCAAAGUCAUGGUUAAGUGGGAAACGAUGUGGGAAGGCCCAGACAGCCAGGAUGUUGGCUUAGAAGCAGCCAUCAUUUAAAGAAAGCGUAAUAGCUCACUGGUCGAGUCGGCCUGCGCGGAAGAUGUAACGGGGCUAAACCAUGCACCGAAGCUGCGGCAGCGAACGUAUCACCCAAGACAACUUUACGGAGUUGACGAUUGACGGAGCGAAGCGACGUCAAAGCGUUCAUUAAAGUCGAGUUGGCUUAGGGAUACGUUCGUUGGGUAGGGGAGCGUUCUGUAAGCCUGCGAAGGUGGCCUGUGAGGGUUGCUGGAGGUAUCAGAAGU
rnacentral:rRNA from 2 species